rnacentral:rRNA from 1 species
AUUGAACGCUGGCGGCAGGCCUAACACAUGCAAGUCGAGCGGAUGAAGGGAGCUUGCUCCUGGAUUCAGCGGCGGACGGGUGAGUAAUGCCUAGGAAUCUGCCUGGUAGUGGGGGAUAACGUCCGGAAACGGGCGCUAAUACCGCAUACGUCCUGAGGGAGAAAGUGGGGGAUCUUCGGACCUCACGCUAUCAGAUGAGCCUAGGUCGGAUUAGCUAGUUGGUGGGGUAAAGGCCUACCAAGGCGACGAUCCGUAACUGGUCUGAGAGGAUGAUCAGUCACACUGGAACUGAGACACGGUCCAGACUCCUACGGGAGGCAGCAGUGGGGAAUAUUGGACAAUGGGCGAAAGCCUGAUCCGGCCAUGCCGCGUGUGUGAAGAAGGUCUUCGGAUUGUAAAGCACUUUAAGUUGGGAGGAAGAGCAGUAAGUUAAUACCUUGCUGCUUUGACGGUACCAACAGAAUAAGCACCGGCUAACUUCGUG